ACGACGUCGAAAAUGUUUUUCUCGAGUAUGGUUGCCAGAAGAGAAGUGAGACAAGGGACCAGGGAAUACAGGAGAGGCGGAAGAAAUAGCCCGUCUGCCGCGCGUGAAAGGAGCGGGACGCCAAAACAGGCGGGCGAGACCAGCCUCGUGAGUGUUAAUGAGCCGGGUCGUAAAUGGAGAGGAGGGG